AUCAACUUUCGAUGGUAGGAUAGAGGCCUACCAUGGUGGUAACGGGUAACGGGGUGUUAGGGCACGACACCGGAGAGGGAGCCUGAGAAACGGCUACCACAUCCAAGGAUGGCAGCAGGCGCGCAAAUUACCCAAUCCCGACACGGGGAGGUAGUGACAAUAAAUAACAAUACGGGGUUCUUUCGGAUCUCGUAAUUGGAAUGAGUACAAUUUAAAUCUCUUAACGAGGAACAAUUGGAGGGCAAGUCUGGUGCCAGCAGCCGCGGUAAUUCCAGCUCCAAUAGCGUAUAUUAAAGUUGUUGCAGUUAAAAAGCUCGUAGUUGAAUUUCGGGGUCAGUAGGUUGGUCGUGCCACUGGUACGUACUGGUCUCACUGAUUCCUCCUUCCUGAUGAACCGUAAUGCCAUUAAUUUGGUGUUGCGGGGAAACUGGACUGUUACUUUGAAAAAAUUAGAGUGUUUAAAGCAGGCUAACGCUUGAAUACAUUAGCAUGGAAUAAUGAAAUAGGACGUUCGAUCCUAUUUUGUUGGUUUCUAGGAUUGACGUAAUGAUUAAUAGGGAUAGUUGGGGGCAUUAGUAUUCAAUUGUCAGAGGUGAAAUUCUUGGAUUUAUUGAAGACUAACUACUGCGAAAGCAUUUGCCAAGGAUGUUUUCAUUAAUCAAGAACGAAAGUUAGGGGAUCGAAGACGAUCAGAUACCGUCGUAGUCUUAACCAUAAACUAUGCCGACUAGGGAUCGGAUGAUGUUAAUUUUUUAAUGACUCAUUCGGCGCCUUACGGGAAACCAAAGUGUUUGGGUUC
rnacentral:rRNA from 1 species